UAAUCUCCUCCUAAAUCUCUUACAGUAAGGAAUUAUUACUCAUUUCUUCCAAGGUUACUGACUGUGCAGAAAUAUACGUGUUAAUCAUCUCAAUGGAUAUCUAAUUCCUGAUGAUAUCCUUCUCCAAACAAAAUGAAUCAAAGAAUGCUGACCAAAGACAAGUGUCAUGCUGAACAUUUUAUCUAGGACACAGUGGUUGUAUAUUGCAACUCCAAUGGUCUAACACCUGAGAGAUGAUGUGUUAUUUAUGGUCGAAACUAAUGCAACUUGGAUAUGCUCAAGCAUUCAGAUCAGUGCUGCUCAGUAACUGUCCAUGGUCCUGGAAACCCAGCCUCACUGCUUCACUGAUCCAGUCUGAAGUCAAGUCAUUCUUCAAGAUUGAUAACCCGGA